AAAAAAAUGAAAUAGGUUAUUUAGAGCUGCUCAUCCGCCCCCAGCAGUGGGGUCUUGCACACAGCUUGCUCUGCACUGGACUUUGCCCACAGAGAGUUUUAGCCAGGGAACCUGUUAAUUUUAAACCAAAAGUGUGCACUUCUGCACAAGCAGAUCUGGACCUCUUUUUGGGCAGAAGCUUUUCUCCUGCUCUUGUCUUGCACAGCUCGGGAAAGAGGAAAGGUUCCCAUUGCUAAGCCAGGUCCAGGCCAGUUUUGACUCUUUAGAUACCAGCAUCAAAUUUUGCAAGGUCUCAUGGAUGAAUAAUAAACCACUGCAUCACUUCCACAUGCUGUGUUCUGUGGUCUUCAGGAGGAAAUGACCCUUAUCCUUUCCCAAACCAACAGUUAACACACCUUUGUUGAUACGUGUCAUACUUCUGAGGCUCAGAGCUCCUAACAGUCCCUGGGGACUGGCUUCUGCACCAGAGACAAAAAGCUGAGCAGAACGCGCAGAGGAAGCCGUACAAAAGUAACCUAUUGCCGUGCUGUUUGGCUGCUCUUGGCUGUCGAUGACAAGUGGACUGGUGGUGUUAGGCAGCUCCCAGGGAGAGGAUCAGAAGUACUCUAUCUAUGACACCUCGUUUAUGGAAUCCCUGCACUGGGGGCAGGCAGGAGGAACUCUACUGUGGCCAUGCAGCGCUUCUUGCUUGUGCUUUACCAGGAACCAGUGCCCAUGCUGGAGCUGUCUGGAGGUCUCAGCUUGGUACCGAGAAGUAUGUGAAUUUAGCAGAACAGAAGCAAAGGAAGAAGAAACUGUCCAAGAGUUGGUGACCAUGUGUGCUGGGAAGGAUGAUGAAAUAACAAAGAUAUUGAACUUCAAGGGUGGGGAAGUAAAACAAAACUAGCCAGAGAAGAUUAAGUGUACCAGUUAAAGUUACCCCACCAACAUGUUUCUAUAGAAACUCAAGAUAUCCAACUUCCAGAUGUAAAGCCUGAAAAGGAAGCACAUUCAGAUGUUAGAGUUUGCAGAGCACAUGCUGCUGCCCCCAGAACAGAGGCUACGCUGCUCUGUAGGCCUUUGCCACGCAAAAUAAAUAAGCAAUGCUACAGUCCUUCUGGCAACUGGUUGCAAUACGACUCCUGAUCUGUGUGUCCUUCUGAAAGGCAGCAGUAUCAUUUGCUUCCUUGCCACUUUUCAUGUUUUUCAAAAUUGUCUGUGGAUAAAUGUGUGUGAAAUUAUAACUGCUAGAAAAUGAUGGUGCUUAAAAGCUUUUGUAUCCUUCCAGGUGUUCUAUUUGGUCCUAGCGUUCAACUGCAGGAAAAGCUGUUGUCUGUGGGCUGUCAGGAGCUGUACCGAGGUGUCCCCAGACUUCUGGAGAUAAAGGAGGACUUGGAAAUACCUGGCUUUUUUUCAUGGUAUUGCAACAGGGAGGAACAAAGUGCAAAUAAUUUGGCGUAAGGCCCAUGGAAGUCAUGCAAGAUGCGCCAUGGAGGAGGAUUCCCCUGUUCAGCUGCCUCGCUAGGACCCAACCUGCAGGUGUGGGCACAGAAGAGCAGAGCAGCGAUGGAAGGAGCAGGAAGACCUUGGGCCAUUAAUAACCAGACCGUGAGGGUUCUUGAAGGGUGUGCAAUGAAUUCAGAACUGGCAUUUCCCAAGCCUGUCUCUGCCCUGUGGGUGAUCCUGGAACAAACAUACACCUACACCUAUAACUGUGCCUGCAUCUACACCUAUACCUACACUUAUACCUACACCUGUACCUACACCUAUAGCAAUACCUCCACCAACAUCUGCAUGCCUCAUUUUUUUUCCCAUUCCCUCCAGGGCUGUCCAUUUGAUCGCAUUGCUAACUCACAUGCUCUGCCUGCAGGGUGAAUCUCUGCAGUCUGAAAAACAAGAUGAGGCCAGAGGCCAAGCUGCAGGGUGAUAUUUUGGGAUGGCUGUGGUGAAGCCCCGCAGGCACAGUGCCCAUCUGUAAGCAAAUACUUUCAGGCUAGAUUCCGGGGGAGCCCAUGUGAUGUCUGCAGGCAGCUCAAUACCCCACAUCCACCCCGCUGAGCUCUGUUGGCAGAGGCUGGACACUUGCAAAGAUGUGUUUUUGCCAGUGUAACUUAUGAUGCCUUCCUUGCUGGAGGUCAGCAUUUGUAAGGAGAUGAUUCAGAAGUAAGUCCCAAAGCAACUACUAAAGAUCUGUUAAUGACAAUGGAAAAACUGGGAGAUAAAGAGAUGUGUAUGAGCUGGUUUUUUGUUUUUUUUUUUUUUUCCCUGCAGUGGUACUAUCCAGAGAGAACUUUCUCCCUCCAUAAACAUUUAUCUUGCACUCAAGGCCCACUGGCCUUCAGCAGAGCUGCACUGACCGCCGCCAGCUCCAGACUUGGAGCACACUCAGCAGCUUCGCGCUGCUUGGGUAUUCACAUGCACCAAGCAACUAUCAAACUUCCAGUUUACAGCUGCCUUGUGACUGAAUAUCAGCCUUUCUUUUUUUUUUUUAUCCUGCAUGAAGUCACGUUUCUGCCUUUUAAAUGGGAAGUCACUUCUGCAAACUCUGUUCUUGCUCCAUUCAUGCAAAGGAACCAAGAGGGAAGGAAAAGAAGAUGCGGCCGCUUCGAAACAAAGCAGAACAAAUUAAAGCUCCCAUGUGGCUGUGGUGCAGAUUCCUGCUGUCCUCCUACACAGGCUGCCUGCCCUUGACGGAUGGAUUUUAUUUGUCUGUCUAUAUUGUGGGUGCUUUUUCAGAAGGGCGAAGGGAAGCAAGCUACAAAAAGAAGUGCUGUCGCUGGGAAGUUAGUUAUUAACCGCCGGGCGCCUCCCUGACAUGACGGAGGUGCUGCAGCCUCUCUGAAGUUUGCAUGUCUUUACGGAAGGAUGUCAUGAUGUGACAGACACAGGGAUUUAAGACAGAUCUUUUCCUGCCUAGGGUCCCCUCUGCUUCUGCAGUGUUUACAUGGGAUCGCUGAGCUAUAUUGAGCUUUCAGUACCAAAUGCAUCAGUACUGUCCACGUGCAUCGCCCGUCAAGGAAGAUUAAGUUUGCUCUGCACAGCAGCACAGAAAUACUCCCAGGGCAAAGCAGGACGGCCCCAGCAAAGAUCUUUCUUUUACUUUCCCCACUCUUCUCAUUAAAGCUGUAGGUGGCUGAUGGAAAUAGCUUACCUAGCAAGGAGACAAAUGGCCAAGAGCUGAUGCGCUGCAGGAAUUCACCCCGUUGUGGUUCUGGAUAGAGCAGAGAUGUGGCAGCACUUUGCAAGUGCUUAAUCCACUUUGUUGAAUCAGAAUUAGAUUUAACACAUAGUCAAUCAGGAAUAUAAUUCCCAUUAUUUUGUACUGCAUCUGACCCUGAAGGCAUAAGCAAAACAUCCCAUCUGAGCCCAGAUCCACAGAAGGGUUUUGCGUCACUGGGGGGAAAGCUGGGAUCCCCAUCUCGUGUAGGAGUUGGACUUGGUGGUCCUUCUGGGUCCCUCCCAACCCGGGAUAUGCUCUGACUCUAUCAUCUUGCUGUGGACCCGUCCCACAGUGUCACUGCUGCCCUGCCCACGCUGGGGCACGCAGCCCUCAGGAGCAUCAGGUUCAGGGUGCUGGAAUGCAGAGACACUGCUACUGACAUCCACGUGUCCUCGGUGGGCUCAGGUGAGGAGAAGGCCCUCAGUGUAAAGCUGUGUUACUGCACACCGCUCUGAGGAGCUGAAGAACAGUGAUGUUUUUCUCAGGGCGAGCUCCAUUAUCUGAAGUAAUCUAAUCAGAGCACGUUAAUGAAACUAGGCCUAAAAGACUAACCAAUAAUCAAUACCACAGUGUGUUAAUAUUGUGUACCACAGACCUAACACACCUAUUUUCCAUGCUUUAUUUCAUUUUUCUGUGCUGUUUUCUCUCCUUAUGCAGAACAGCCAGGAAGGAACUAGCAUCUCCUCCAAACUCCAGCAACAUUGGAAAGGUCCCUUUUUGAGAGCAUGGAUUCCAUGACAGCGAUGACAAGCUCAGAUACAUCAAUCAUGCAGCAGAGAUGGGCACACAAAACUUUGCUCCUCAUCUGAUGACCCGCAGGCACCAGGACCACUAAUCAAAGAAUCCAAAUCAUGCUUUGCCUGUAGUCUGCAUCUGAAAUUCAUUCUUCUAGAGUAAUUUCAUACUUCAGAAGAGUUCCAGUGUUCAAUGUGGGAAGCGUGGGGCAUCUUGGUCCUCAUAGCUGUCUUUGUACUUAAUCAGAGGGAAGAGCUUUUCCUCUACUCCACAUUUACUCUUCACCUCAAGCAGAAGUUCCUCAGCCACAAUUGCAAGCUGGUGAAUUGCACUUGAAAAGGCAAAGAAAACCUAUAUUGCUACAUAUAUAUCUUCAACCCACCACUCCUGGUGCACCUAAAGCUAUAACAGAAAGCUCCCUGUAGGAUGAUGCCAACCAAUAUCAGUGCACUCAGCUCAGUGUGUUGAGUUCUGGAUAAAAACAGAAAUAAUGGAACAAGCCUCCUUGCUUCAGUCACAUAGAAUCAACCCCCCCAAAAAAGCUACCACCAAACUUGACUCAUUUUUUUAAAGAAAAAGGCAAUUUUUCACAUUUUAAUAGCUUUCAUUCCAUGUCUUAAUAAAUGCAUGUUUGUUGAUUUGUGUAAGCAUGAUGUAGGAUUCUGCAAAUGAAUGUAAUCUGCAACAAGGGGAUAGCUAACCACUAGCUAACACUUUUGAAUAAUGAAUCCCUACUGUAUCAGAUGGACGCUAUUCAUAAUAAUUCCUUGCUUUUCUCAUUUUGUCGUGUACAGUAGCGAUUAAUCAAUUUGCAGUGUUAUGUCACCCGCAACAAAUUGCUAGCACCAAGACAAAUUUAUUGCUUUAUGAUAAAAGAACUUGUUUAGGUAGAAAUAAAUUAAAUUUGGGGGUUGUUAUUUGAGUUUGAUGUUUACAUAUAUGACCCAUGCCACACGGGCUGGCGGAGCUAAGGGUAUGCAAUUAUUACUCCAGUGUUCUGAGGAUAGUUCAAAGAGAUGCAGAAGCUAAUGGCAUGUUUGUACAGCUAACUAGUCCUUGAGGACACCAAGUCCCCCUGGGAGCUUUCUGUAACCUGGAUGAGGCUCUUCACAAGAAUUUGGAAUGGUUGUCAGUCCGGAGUUGUGUGUUGGAGGUUUAGUCCAUUGAAGAUGGCUGGGUGCUCUUCAUUCUGGGGGUCUAGAAGACAGGCAGGUCCCAGCACCCCAACAAAUACUGCAUCUAUGGAUCUUCUUGUGAGAGUGGUGCUGCUUUAUGGGAAUGGACUGAGCAGAAAUAGCUUUGCAGGAGCAGCUCUGCUCUCCUAUAACAGGACACAGACUCAGGGAUGCUCCUAGGAUGCUUGGUGGAGAUGCCCAGCCCUGAGGGUGAAAAACCUGCUUAGCUUCCAGCAAUAAGAAUGCC
ensembl:lncRNA